rnacentral:rRNA from 1 species
GAUGAACGCUAGCGGCAGGCUUAAUACAUGCAAGUCGUGGGGCAGCAUGAGUAGCAAUACUUGAUGGCGACCGGCAAACGGGUGAGGAACACGUACACAACCUUCCUUCAAGCGGGGAAUAGCCCAGAGAAAUUUGGAUUAAUACCCCAUAAUAUAUUUGAUAAGGCAUCUUAUUAAUAUUAAAGCUUCGGCACUUGAUGAUGGGUGUGCGGCUGAUUAGAUAGUUGGCGGGGUAACGGCCCACCAAGUCUACGAUCAGUAGCUGAUGUGAGAGCAUGAUCAGCCACACGGGCACUGAGACACGGGCCCGACUCCUACGGGAGGCAGCAGUAAGGAAUAUUGGACAAUGGACGAAAGUCUGAUCCAGCCAUGCCGCGUGAAGGAUUAAGGUCCUCUGGAUUGUAACUUCUUUAUAUGGGACGAAAAAGGGCAUUCUUGUUCACUUGACGGUACCAUAUGAAUAAGCACCGGCUAACUCCGUGCCAGCAG